rfam:Soil-borne wheat mosaic virus (SBWMV) complete RNA 2 segment: 84 kDa readthrough protein, 19 kDa capsid protein and 19 kDa cysteine-rich protein genes, complete cds.
GGUGCUUGUUAUUUCACCUAAAUCGAAAUAAC